rnacentral:rRNA from 1 species
UGGGGGAUAUUGGACAAUGGGGGGAACCCUGAUCCAGCGACGCCGCGUGAGUGAAGAAGUAUUUCGGUAUGUAAAGCUCUAUCAGCAGGGAAGAAAGAAAUGACGGUACCUGAGUAAGAAGCCCGGCUAACUACGUGCC